UGGGAAUGAUGCUUUUUAGCAUGUAUUACCUGAAACAUACAUUGAUGUACAUUUUUAUCACCAAGAUCUCUGACCCA